UGAGAUGACCCAAAUGCAGGCUCAGACAACGUAAGGAGAAACACAAGGAUUUAUUUUUCAAGCGCACUUCCAAAGUAAUCACAAGAAUUAUAGUCAAAUCGAAAUCAGUGUUCGUCUCCACUGCAGCAGAACAGACGAUCUGACGACUAGUGGGAGGAAUGCCAGGGCUCUUAUGCUGUCGGACUGAUAGGCUGAUUGGUGGCAGGUGCUGAGGAACGGCAGGUGUGCCACGGCGAUUAGUCCGGCAGAGUCAGAGAGAUGUGCCACGCCCCCUACACAGAGAGAGAGAGUACACAACACAAGAAAACACAGGAAAACACAGGAAAUGACAGUCCCGACUGUCAUCGUGACAAUAUUACUGAUCUGCAAUAACAGCCAGGCUAGGUCUGAUCCAUACAGAGCCACAUGUGGCUUAGGAACCACAGGUUUCCAACAAGGCAAAGCAUUUAGCGUGCUGCUCAGCUUUGCUAACCGCAACAAAACGACGUCGGAUUUCCAACAUUAUCUCACUGACAUACUACUGACUUUCAAAAGAUGCCAGAGGUAGAGGUAAAAAUUAGAAACUGGAUAAAAAUGGGGCUAACGCAAGCUUCGGAAUACAGUACUGGAUCAAUUUCUGGAUCUUCUUAAGAAAGAGUGAAAGAACGUACAGAUUGAAGAACAAAGAAAACAGAACAAAACAUAUAUGACAUAUGUAACAACCGAUAUAACAAAACCUUUUGAUGACCUUUAAAAUGAUAUAGUGUGAUGAUAUGGUAAAACUUUUUGAUAACUUCAAAAUGAUCUUCUGACCUUAAACACUUCCACUUUGAUUAUUUCCACUUAACACAUGACCUUCAGUACUAACAUCCACAUCACCACUUCAAUCUAACCCAUUCAACCAGCAUUCAAUCCACUUCCGUAACCUUUCAAUAACUCUAACCCAUUCAACACUGAAAUAUCACAUUUUCAUGAAUACAUAAUAUAAAAUAAAUUAUUACAGUGUAAUAAUAUGACAAAACAAGGUAAGAAAACUGUUAUAAAGCAUUGUUAAUGUAUAUAAAUGAAU